UACGAAGGGAGCUAGCGUUGUUCGGAAUUACUGGGCGUAAAGGGCGCGUAGGCGGCUUGGCAAGUUGGAUGUGAAAGCCCAGGGCUCAACCCUGGAAUUGCAUUCAAGACUGCCUUGCUUGAAUUCGGUAGAGGUUGGUGGAAUUCCCAGUGUAGAGGUGAAAUUCGUAGAGAUUGGGAAGAACACCCGUGGCGAAGGCGGCCAACUGGACCGACAUUGACGCUGAGGCGCGAAAGCGUGGGGAG
rnacentral:rRNA from 1 species